UUUAUUCUAUGUGCAAGUCACAGCCACAUCUAUCCUGUUACUUAGCUGGGGAAGGCAGCUGGGCUGAUGCCCUCAAUGCAUUCUACACACCACCCGGGGCUGUGGCCCCGUCUUGCUCUGUCACAGUGCAGCUGCAGAGUGAUAACUGGGUACGGCAGACCAGGGAGGGGUUUUUGUUUGAGUCUGUAGCACAGUGUUGGGUUUUCGGCUCAGGGACCCAGCUGACCGUCUCAGGUCAGCCUACAGUGACCCCCUCGCUCAAUCUGUUCCCACCCUCCUCUGAGGAGCUCAAGGAAAGCAAGGCCACCGUGGUGUGUCUCAUCAACGACUUCUACCCGGGCGCAGCGACAGUCACCUGGAAGGCAGACGGCCACACCAUCACCCAGGGUGUGGAAACCAGCAAGCCCGCCAAACAGAGCAACAACAAGUAUGCGGCCAGCAGCUUCCUCAGCUUGACGGCCAAUCAGUGGAAGUCCUACGGCAGCGUCACCUGCCAGGUCACGCACGAGGGCAAAGCCGUGGAGAAGAGCUUGGCCCCUGCACAAUGUUCAUAGAAAGAGUCCUUGUGCCAGUAUCAAGGCUACUCAAGCCCCUAA